rnacentral:rRNA from 1 species
CCAUGCCGCGUGCAGGAAGACUGCCCUAUGGGUUGUAAACUGCUUUUAUAGGGGAAGAACCCCCUCCACGUGUGGAGGGCUGACGGUACCCUACGAAUAAGGAUCGGCUAACUCCGUGCCAGCAGCCGCGGUAAUACGGAGGAUCCAAGCGUUAUCCGGAAUCAUUGGGUUUAAAGGGUCCGUAGGCGGGCAGUUAAGUCAGUGGUGAAAGUCCUCCGCUCAACGGGGGAACUGCCAUUGAUACUGAUUGCCUUGAGUCACUGUGAAGUGGUUGGAAUGAGUAGUGUAGCGGUGAAAUGCAUAGAUAUUACUCAGAACACCUAUUGCGAAGGCAGAUCACUAACAGUGCACUGACGCUGAUGGACGAAAGCGUAGGUAGCGAACAGGAUUAGAUACCCUGGUAGUCUACGCCGUAAACGAUGGUCACUAGCUGUGGGGCACAAUUGAGUGCUGGGUGGUUAAGCGAAAGUGAUAAGUGACCCACCUGGGGAGUACGUUCGCAAGAAUGAAACUCAAAGGAAUUGACGGGGGCCCGCACAAGCGGUGGAGCAUGUGGUUUAAUUCGAUGAUACGCGAGGAACCUUACCAGGGCUUAAAUGCAGCCGGACAGGGGUGGAAACACCCUUUUCUUCGGACUGGCUGCAAGGUGCUGCAUGGUUGUCGUCAGCUCGUGCCGUGAGGUGUCAGGUUAAGUCCUAUAACGAGCGCAACCCCUGUGGUCAGUUGCCAGCACAUAAUGGUGGGAACUCUGGCCAGACUGCCGGUGCAAACCGCGAGGAAGGUGGGGAUG